rnacentral:rRNA from 1 species
CCUACGGGAGGCUGCAGUGGGGAAUAUUGGACAAUGGGGGCAACCCUGAUCCAGCCAUGCCGCGUGUGUGAAGAAGGCCCUCGGGUUGUAAAGCACUUUCAGUGAGGAAGAACGCCUGGUGGUUAAUACCCAUCAGGAAAGACAUCACUCACAGAAGAAGCACCGGCUAACUCCGUGCCAGCAGCCGCGGUAAUACGGAGGGUGCGAGCGUUAAUCGGAAUUACUGGGCGUAAAGCGCGCGUAGGUGGCGUGAUAAGCCGGUUGUGAAAGCCCCGGGCUCAACCUGGGAACGGCAUCCGGAACUGUCAAGCUAGAGUGCAGGAGAGGAAGGUAGAAUUCCCGGUGUAGAGGUGAAAUGCGUAGAGCUCGGGAGGAAUACCAGUGGCGAAGGCGGCCUUCUGGACUGACACUGACACUGAGGUGCGAAAGCGUGGGUAGCAAACAGGAUUAGAUACCCCGGUAGUC